GAUGAACGCUGGCGGCGUGCUUAACACAUGCAAGUCGAACGGGAAACCUUUUAUUGCAGCUUCGGCAGAUUUAGCUGGUUUCUAGUGGCGGACGGGUGAGUAACGCGUGGGUAACCUGCCUUAUACAGGUGGAUAACAGUCAGAAAUGGCUGCUAAUACCGCAUAAGCGCACAGAGCUGCAUGGCUCAGUGUGAAAAACUCCGGUGGUAUAAGAUGGACCCGCGUUGGAUUAGCUGGUUGGUGGGGUAACGGCCCACCAAGGCGACGAUCCAUAGCCGGCCUGAGAGGGUGAACGGCCACAUUGGGACGGAGACACGGCCCAGACUCCUACGGGAGGCAGCAGUGGGGAAUAUUGCACAAUGGGGGAAACCCUGAUGCAGCGACGCCGCGUGAAGGAAGAAGUAUCGCGGUAUGUAAACUUCUAUCAGCAGGGAAGAUAAUGACGGUACCUGACUAAGAAGCCCCGGCUAACUACGUG
rnacentral:rRNA from 1 species